UGCAGUCGAACGGACUUAACCGUUAGUUUACUAAUGGAGCGGUUAGUGGCGGACUGGUGAGUAACACGUAAGCAACCUGCCUAUCAGAGGGGAACAACAGUUAGAAAUGACUGCUAAUACCGCAUAUGCCUUAGCAACACAUGUUGCAAAAGGGAAAGGAGCAAUCCGCUGAUAGAUGGGCUUGCGUCUGAUUAGAUAGUUGGUGGGGUAACGGCUUACCAAGUCAACGAUCAGUAGCCGGACUGAGAGGUUGAACGGCCACAUUGGGACUGAGAUACGGCCCAGACUCCUACGGGAGGCAGCAGUCGGGAAUAUUGCGCAAUGGAGGAAACUCUGACGCAGUGACGCCGCGUGCAGGAAGAAGGUUUUCGGAUUGUAAACUGCUUUAGACAGGGAAGAAUAAAGACAGUACCUGUAGAAUAAGCUCCGGCUAACUACGUGCCAGCAGCCGCGGUAAUACGUAGGGAGCAAGCGUUAUCCGGAUUUAUUGGGUGUAAAGGGUGCGUAGACGGGAAAUUAAGUUAGUUGUGAAAUCCCUCGGCUUAACUGAGGAACUGCAACUAAAACUGGUUUUCUUGAGUGUUGGAGAGGAAAGUGGAAUUCCUAGUGUAGCGGUGAAAUGCGUAGAUAUUAGGAGGAACACCAGUGGCGAAGGCGACUUUCUGGACAAUAACUGACGUUGAGGCACGAAAGUGUGGGGAGCAAACAGGAUUAGAUACCCUGGUAGUCCACACCGUAAACGAUGGAUACUAGGUGUAGGGUGUGAUAAACAUUCUGUGCCGUCGCAAACGCAAUAAGUAUCCCACCUGGGGAGUACGGCCGCAAGGUUGAAACUCAAAGGAAUUGACGGGGGCCCGCACAAGCAGUGGAGUAUGUGGUUUAAUUCGACGCAACGCGAAGAACCUUACCAGGGCUUGA
rnacentral:rRNA from 1 species